rnacentral:rRNA from 1 species
UACAGAGGGUGCGAGCGUUAAUCGGAAUUACUGGGCGUAAAGCGCACGUAGUCGGCUUUGCAAGUCGGGUGUGAAAUCCCCGCGCUCAACCUGGGAACUGCAUCCGAGACUGCAUUGCUAGAGUAUGGGAGAGGGAAGCGGAAUUUCUGGUGUAGCAGUGAAAUGCGUAGAUAUCAGAAGGAACAUCAGUGGCGAAGGCGGCUUCCUGGACCAAUACUGACGAUCAGGUGCGAAAGCGUGGGGAGCAAACAGG